UACGUAGGGCGCAAGCGUUGUCCGGAAUUAUUGGGCGUAAAGAGCUCGUAGGCGGUCUGUUACGUCCGCUGUGAAAACCCAGGGCUUAACCCUGGGCUUGCAGUGGAUACGGGUAGACUAGAGGCAGGUAGGGGAGAAUGGAAUUCCCGGUGUAGCGGUGAAAUGCGCAGAUAUCGGGAGGAACACCGGUGGCGAAGGCGGUUCUCUGGGCCUGACCUGACGCUGAGGAGCGAAAGCGUGGGGAGCGAUCCGG
rnacentral:rRNA from 1 species